UACGUAGGGUGCGAGCGUUAAUCGGAAUUACUGGGCGUAAAGUGUGCGCAGGCGGCCGCGCAAGUCGAGUGUGAAAGCCCCCGGCUCAACUGGGGAGGGUCACGCGAUACUGAUCGACUCGAAGGCAGGAGAGGGUAGUGGAAUUCCCGGUGUAGUGGUGAAAUGCGUAGAUAUCGGGAGGACACCAGUGGCGAAGGCGACUACCUGGCCUGUUCUUGACGCUGAGGCACGAAAGCUAGGG
rnacentral:rRNA from 1 species